GUGGGGAAUAUUGCACAAUGGGGGAAACCCUGAUGCAGCGACGCCGCGUGGAGGAUGACGGCCUUCGGGUUGUGAACUCCUUUUGUCAGGGACAAUGGUGAUGGUACCUGACGAAUAAGCCACGGCUAACUCUGUGCCAGCAGCCGCGGUAAGACAGAGGUGGCGAGCGUUGUUCGGAAUUACUGGGCUUAAAGGGCGCGUAGGCGGUGGUGUAAGUCUGGGGUGGAAUGCUACAGCUCAACUGUAGAGCUGCCUUGGAAACUGCAUUACUUGAGUCGGUGAGGGGAAGGCGGAAUUCCUGGUGUAGCGGUGAAAUGCGUAGAUAUGGGGAGGAACACCAGUGGCGAAGGCGGCUUUCUGGACGGUGUCUGACACUGUGGCGCGAAAGCCAGGGGAGCGAACGGGAUUAGAAACCCUGGUAGUCC
rnacentral:rRNA from 1 species